CAUUGAGCGGUCUUCGUUGAGAAAUUUAUUCUGCCAGCAGGCCCUUUCGUUUUCAACGCGUAUGUGGCAUAAACCAGGAGAAGGCUGUGCGUCAUCUGCACGUGAAUUACAGCGUUCUUCGCCUACGAGGCCAUGGGGUCGUCGCUGUUGUCGUCGGACAAAUGCAACCAUGAGCGUCCGCCUGGGUACGAGCAAGUGGAGGUGGAGUUUGUUUUUUAUCCCUUGACAUCGGACGCUGAAACAUUUUCAUAGCACACGUGUUGGCUGGUUACAUUCCCUGAAAAACUUCGUCAGAUUAGCCGUAUACACACUUCCAUCGUCCCGCCUUUUGUAGCUCUCUCCGGUCGUUUCGCUGAUGGUUAUCCUGACCAUUCUGGGAACGGAGUUAUGCUACGUUCUUAGAUAAUAAUAUUGGAGGUUUCACAUGCCGAAACCACGAUAUGAUGAUCAGGGAU